GACAAGGAAAAGCAGCAGCCAGUAUAAAGAAGCCAAGGAAGGCAGAAGUUCACUACAUUCCUUUGCACCCAACAGGCGAGACUGCAGAAAGUCUGGAGGAGGAGCGAAUCAGUAUACUAUCAGAAAUGAAGAAACGCUUCAAUGAGGUGGUGAUAAAGACAAAAAUGGAAAAGACUUUUUCCCACAGAUGACUGGAAAUCGUGAAUGAGAGACCAAGGAUCGAAGACUUCAAAGACCGAUGGCCAGCCUUGUUUCAGGAGAGUGGUGUGAAUGAUGAGUUCAUGAGAAUCACCACAAAACCACUACUGUCAAAGUUUUUUGCCCAGCUUGACCACUUUACUCCAAAGCUCAACUCCCUUUUCAAGUCCAAAGGAGGAGCGAAGGGACAGAAGAUGAAGAAUAUCCUGGCAGUCUAUGAUGAGUGUGAUGAAAUAGAUGCGAAGAGGGAGUGUGUGCUGAAGAGCCUGAUUAUCUACCUCAACGAGGAUCCAGCUUCCCUUGUCAAGGAGUACCUGG